rnacentral:rRNA from 1 species
UGGGGAAUCUUGGACAAUGGGGGAAACCCUGAUCCAGCGAUGCCGCGUGUGUGAAGAAGGCCUUAGGGUUGUAAAGCACUUUUAGUGGGGAGGAGAGUACGUUUAUGAAUAGUAGACGUAUGAGACGUUACCCAAAGAAAAAGCACCGGCUAACUCUGUGCCAGCAGCCGCGGUAAUACAGAGGGUGCGAGCGUUAAUCGGAAUGACUGGGCGUAAAGGGCGCGUAGGCGGUUAAGGAAGUCGGAUGUGAAAUACCUGGGCUCAACCUGGGUGCGGCAUCCGAAACUUUUUGACUAGAGUACAGGAGAGGGAAGUGGAAUUUCCGGUGUAGCGGUGAAAUGCGUAGAUAUCGGAAGGAACACCAGUGGCGAAGGCGACUUUCUGGCCUGUAACUGACGCUGAGGCGCGAAAGUGUGGGGAUCAAACAGG